rnacentral:lncRNA from 1 species
CGAGUAGUAUAGCCUCAUGAUUGGAUCACAGGUAUUGUCCCAGUGGUACGACACUGGAGAAGACUCCUUCCGUCGGACGGAGAUGGAAAAGGGAUGUAUUCAACGCAACCCAAACUGUGGUUACCGCUUGAAGAUUUGGGGUUCACCAAAGGUGAAGAUGUUACUCUGAGGAGAUUAGCAUCACAACGUCAGAUCAGCAAUGUUCCCCAGUAGUGCGAUAUUGGAGGAAAUGUUCCCGUCGGACAGAGAUGGGGAUACAGUCAGAAGACGUUACGCGAU